rnacentral:rRNA from 1 species
GAUGAACGCUGGCGGCGUGCCUAAUACAUGCAAGUCGAGCGAACAGACGAGGAGCUUGCUCCUCUGACGUUAGCGGCGGACGAGUGAGUAACACGUGGAUAACCUACCUAUAAGACUGGGAUAACUUCGGGAAACCGGAGCUAAUACCGGAUAAUAUAUUGAACCGCAUGGUUCAAUAGUGAAAGACGGUUUUGCUGUCACUUAUAGAUGGAUCCGCGCCGCAUUAGCUAGUUGGUAAGGUAACGGCUUACCAAGGCAACGAUGCGUAGCCGACCUGAGAGGGUGAUCGGCCACACUGGAACUGAGACACGGUCCUGACUCCUACGGGAGGCAGCAGUAGGGAAUCUUCCGCAAUGGGCGAAAGCCUGACGGAGCAACGCCGCGUGAGUGAUGAAGGUCUUCGGAUCGUAAAACUCUGUUAUUAGGGAAGAACAAAUGUGUAAGUAACUAUGCACGUCUUGACGGUACCUAAUCAGAAAGCCACGGCUAACUACGUG